rnacentral:rRNA from 1 species
AACGAACGCUGGCGGCAUGCCUAACACAUGCAAGUCGAACGAGACCUUCGGGUCUAGUGGCGCACGGGUGCGUAACGCGUGGGAACCUGCCUUUAGGUUCGGAAUAACUCAGAGAAAUUUGAGCUAAUACCGGAUGAUGUCUUCGGACCAAAGAUUUAUCGCCUUUAGAUGGGCCCGCGUUGGAUUAGCUAGUUGGUGGGGUAAAGGCCUACCAAGGCGACGAUCCAUAGCUGGUCUGAGAGGAUGAUCAGCCACACUGGGACUGAGACACGGCCCAGACUCCUACGGGAGGCAGCAGUGGGCAAUAUUGGACAAUGGGCGAAAGCCUGAUCCAGCAAUGCCGCGUGAGUGAUGAAGGCCUUAGGGUUGUAAAGCUCUUUUACCCGAGAUGAUAAUGACAGUAUCGGGAGAAUAAGCUCCGGCUAACUCCGUG